rnacentral:rRNA from 1 species
GGGGGGGGGUGCCUAAUACAUGCAAGUCGAGCGGACAGAUGGGAGCUUGCUCCCUGAUGUUAGCGGCGGACGGGUGAGUAACACGUGGGUAACCUGCCUGUAAGACUGGGAUAACUCCGGGAAACCGGGGCUAAUACCGGAUGGUUGUUUGAACCGCAUGGUUCAAACAUAAAAGGUGGCUUCGGCUACCACUUACAGAUGGACCCGCGGCGCAUUAGCUAGUUGGUGAGGUAACGGCUCACCAAGGCAACGAUGCGUAGCCGACCUGAGAGGGUGAUCGGCCACACUGGGACUGAGACACGGCCCAGACUCCUACGGGAGGCAGCAGUAGGGAAUCUUCCGCAAUGGACGAAAGUCUGACGGAGCAACGCCGCGUGAGUGAUGAAGGUUUUCGGAUCGUAAAGCUCUGUUGUUAGGGAAGAACAAGUACCGUUCGAAUAGGGCGGUACCUUGACGGUACCUAACCAGAAAGCCACGGCUAACUACGUGCCAGCAGCCGCGGUAAUACGUAGGUGGCAAGCGUUGUCCGGAAUUAUUGGGCGUAAAGGGCUCGCAGGCGGUUUCUUAAGUCUGAUGUGAAAGCCCCCGGCUCAACCGGGGAGGGUCAUUGGAAACUGGGGAACUUGAGUGCAGAAGAGGAGAGUGGAAUUCCACGUGUAGCGGUGAAAUGCGUAGAGAUGUGGAGGAACACCAGUGGCGAAGGCGACUUCUCUGGUCUGUAACUG